rnacentral:rRNA from 1 species
CCUACGGGGAGCUGCAGUGAGGAAUAUUGGUCAAUGGACGAGAGUCUGAACCAGCCAAGUAGCGUGAAGGAUGACUGCCCUAUGGGUUGUAAACUUCUUUUAUAUGGGAAUAAAAUGUUCCACGUGUGGGAUUUUGUAUGUACCAUAUGAAUAAGGAUCGGCUAACUCCGUGCCAGCAGCCGCGGUAAUAAGGAGGAUCCGAGCGUUAUCCGGAUUGAUUGGGUUUAAAGGGAGCUUAGGUGGAUUGUUAAGUCUGUUGUGAAAGUUUGCGGCGCAACCGUAAAAUUGCAGUUGAAACUGGCAUUCUUCAGUACAGUAGAGGUGGGCGGAAUGUGUGGUGUAGCGGUGAAAUGCUUAGAUAUCACGAAGAACUCCGAUUGCGAAGGCAGCUCACUGGACUGCAACUGACACUGAGGCUCGAAAGUGUGGGUAUCAAACAGGAAUAGAUACCCCUGUAGUC